GGCUCAGGAUGAACGCUGGCGGCGUGCCUAACACAUGCAAGUCGAACGGGACUAUCAAGUGAUGUUUCGGACUGAACUUUUAGUUAGUGGCGGACGGGUGAGUAACGCGUGGACAACCUGCCUCUCACUGGGGGAUAGCAGCUGGAAACGGCUGGUAAUACCGCAUACGUUCAAUGUGCCGCAUGACACAUUGAAGAAAGAUUUAUCGGUGAGAGAUGGGUCCGCGUCUGAUUAGCCAGUUGGCGGGGUAACGGCCCACCAAAGCGACGAUCAGUAGCCGGCCUGAGAGGGCGGACGGCCACAUUGGGACUGAGACACGGCCCAGACUCCUACGGGAGGCAGCAGUGGGGGAUAUUGCACAAUGGGCGCAAGCCUGAUGCAGCGACGCCGCCGUGAGUGAAGAAGUAUUUCGGUAUGUAAAGCUCUAUCAGCAGGGAAGAAAGGCCCGCAAGGGAGAUGACGGUACCUGACUAAGAAGCCCCGGCUAACUACGUGCCAGCCGCCGC
rnacentral:rRNA from 1 species